rnacentral:rRNA from 1 species
GAUGAACGCUAGCGGCAGGCUUAAUACAUGCAAGUCGAGGGGCAGCAGGGCGUAGCAAUACGCUGCUGGCGACCGGCAAACGGGUGCGGAACACGUACGCAACCUACCCAAAACUGGGGGAUAGCCCGGGGAAACCCGGAUUAAUACCUCGUAACCUUUUUGAGUGGCAUCACUUGGAAAGUAUAGCUCCGGCGGUUUUGGAUGGGCGUGCGCCUGAUUAGGUAGUUGGCGGGGUAACGGCCCACCAAGCCUGCGAUCAGUAACUGGUGUGAGAGCACGACCAGUCACACGGGCACUGAGACACGGGCCCGACUCCUACGGGAGGCAGCAGUAAGGAAUAUUGGUCAAUGGACGCAAGUCUGAACCAGCCAUGCCGCGUGAAGGAUGAAGGUCCUCUGGAUUGUAAACUUCUUUUAUGGGGGACGAAACCACCUUUUUCCAAGGGUGUUGACGGUACCCCAGGAAUAAGCACCGGCUAACUCCGUGCCAGCCGCCGCCGUAAUAC